rnacentral:lncRNA from 1 species
ACUGAUCACAUAGACCCGCAGCACUCAGCCAGGCCCCUCACCCCGGCUCUGCUCUCAAGCCGGGCUUGGCUCCCCGCCUGCCCAAAUGCGUUCAACAUCCCCCGAAAGGCCAUUUCCCUUCCAGUCUUCCCGGAGAGAUGUCAGGGUGACGAGGGAGCUUAUCUUUCGGUGGCUCCGAAACAGCCACGAAGCCGAGCUCUACCAGUAACAAAAAUGGCGUCAUUCCGCCAGCGCCAGGACCUCUGUCGCUGGCCGUGGUCUCGCACUGCUUCUGGAGGCUCCCAUUCCAGCCAGAGGAGAGGUGCGUUUGGGGGCCCGGGGGAGUCCUCGUGAUAUCUCCGAGUUUGGGUAUUCGGAAUUGAUCCUACGAAAGCAGUGUGAGGCUUGGAAGGGCCGCGACUUGUCCGGGUGAGUGGGCGUUCCCGGCCACCAGAAGAGGCACGGCCUGAGCAAAGGCGUGGCGACAUGGCAGGGUGGGAAACGGGGAAAGUGGGAAGGCUGGACAGAGCACCCCCCGGGAGAUUCCUCCGCAGAAGCGAAUUCCUAAAACGUCUGGAGAAAGGGAAGAGACCUUUGACAUCAUGCAGCCUUUCAGGGGGCUCACACAUACCCGCCCACUUCUCCCCACCUGGCCUCGGCGCCCUGCCGCCUUCCUAUUGUUCCUGCUUGGCGUCAGGACCCGCCCCCAUCUGUCACUCACUGCCCACCGGUCCUCCAUUGGCUCCUUUGAACACGGAAGGGCCCACCUUCACCUGUCAUUUACAGCCUGGACUUCUGCCUGCCCUAGUUCAAGUAGGCUUAUAUGGCCUUUUGCAGCCCGUAUCAAAACUAAAAGAGUUCAUAGAGUCAGAGGUUCGAGGUAAAACCUAAGGGACAUUGGUUUUAGACGACUUAACAAAGGGCUGGAUUGGAAGUCAGCCCGGAACAGGAUUGCAGAGUUAACAAAGGUUCAUGUUCGAUACAAAACGGGAACUCUGAUGGUUACAAUAGUUAAGAAAGUCCUAGGAUUCAAGACCUCUAUCAGGGUGUAUGGAUGGAGAAAACAUUAACAAAUAUCCUGCUUGAAGAUCAAAUCAGAGGGGCACUGGUGGUGCAAUAGUAACCCAAUUCCAAAGUUAUUUCAGAGAGGCCUUAAAUGGAAGGUUAACUUAGACCCAAAUCUGAGCCAAGACCAGAGACCCAUUAAAGUCACGUGAUGUGGUUAACAGAGCCCCGGAAUUCACAGCCUAUACCAAAGGGGUAAUGAUGGUGGAAGAAUUAAUCAAGGUCUGACUUCAAAGUCAAACCAAAUGGCAUUCAUGAUAAAAAUGUUAACUGAGGGCUGGGCACAGUGGCUAACACUUGCAAUCUCAGAACUUUGGGAGGCCAAGGCGGGAGGAUCACUUGAGGCCAGGAGUUAGAGACCAGCCUGGCCAACAUGGCAAAACCCUAUCUCUACUAAAAAUACAAAAUUUAGCCAGAUGUGGUGGCACAUGCCUGUAGUCUCAGCUGCUUGGGAGGCUGAGGCAUGAGAAUCGCUUGAACCUGGGAGGUGGAGGUUGCAGUGGGCCAAGACUGUGACACUGCACUCCAACCUGGGGGAGAGACAAAACUCUGUCUCAAAAAAUAAAAAUAAGAAAAAAAUGUUAACUGAGGGCCGGGCACAGUGGCUGACACCUGUAAUCCCAGGACUUUGGGAGGCUGAGGCGGGAGGAUCAUGUGAGCCCAGGAGAUCAAGACCAGUCUGGGCAACAUAGUGAGACUCCAUCUCUAUAAAAAUAAAUGUUAACUGAGGAUUGGGGUUGGUGGAUACAGGAGAAGGGGCACAAGUAGCUAAAAAGUUAGUACAGCCUUGAUUUUCUGUACAUACCAAAGGAUCAUAGAUGGAGAGGACUCAACUGAGGCCUGCAGUCAGUGUAAAGAUCUGAGGGAUGCAGAGCGUAGUGGCUCACUCCUAUAAUCCCAGCAUUUUGGGAGGUGGAGGCAGGCAGAUCACUUGAAGCCAGGACUCAGCAUAGCCAACUUGGCGAAAACCUGUCUCUACUAAAAAUACGAAAAUUACCCAGACGUGGUGGUGCAUGCCUGUAAUUCCAGCUGCUUGGGUGGCCGAAGCAUGAGAAUCACUAGAACCUGGGAGGUGGAGGUUGCAGUGAGCAAGAACUGAGGGGCAGUAAUGGGGAAAGAGUUAACAGACAUGCAAAAAGAUUCACAUGUAAAUUGCCCUGGUGAUGGAAAAGUGAACAGAAACUCAAGCUUAACACAUAGACCCAGGAUUAUUAAUUUUCCACCCUCAAAGCCCUGAAUUCUCUCUCUAGAUCCAAACCCAUUAAUAGUGGAAUGGAUAACAGAUUCCCCAGUUCAAGGUAAAAUUAAGGGUUGAUUUAGGUUGGAAGAGUUAAUAGAAGCCCAGGUUGGAGAGCACAGAUAAGAGACUUUGAUGGUGGAAUUGCUAACAACAGCUGGGGUUUGAGGUGAGGUCAGAGGGAUAGGGAUGGUGGAAGAGUUAAGAAGGACAUGGUUUGAGUAUAGACCAGACGGGCCAUCAAUGAUGGAAUAUUUCAAAGAUGCCUGUAUUCAUUUCCUGUUGUUGCUAUAGCAAAUUAUCACAGACUUACUUGCUCAAAACAACACAAAUUUAUUAUCUUACAGUCCUACAUGUCAGAAAUAUGAUAUGGGUUUCACUGGGCACUCCCUACAGAGGCUUAGGAGAAACUCUGUUUAUUUGCUUUACCUAGCUUCUGCUAGAAGUCACCUGUAUUCCUUGACUCAUGGUCCCUUCCUCCAUCUUCAAAGCUGACAGUGUAGCAUCUUCACAUUGCUCUCUGACGGUAACCUGCUUCCAUCAUCACGUCUCCUUUUCUAACUCA